AUGGUAGAGGCGCGGUGCUCAUGAGUAUUGUCUGGCAAGGUCUUGCAGCCGCCGGACAAAAAAGGGAACGCCGCCGAAGCGGGUCUUGCUUGCAAGGAGCGGGUCUGCUGGGCCGUCAGAGAAUAUCUGCCGGACUGUCACGUUUAUGUGGAGCGCUAUCGU
rnacentral:ncRNA from 1 species